GGGCUAAACCAUGCACCGAAGCUGCGGCAGCGACGCUUAUGCGUUGUUGGGUAGGGGAGCGUUCUGUAAGCCUGUGAAGGUGUGCUGUGAGGCAUGCUGGAGGUAUCAGAAGUGCGAAUGCUGACAUAAGUAACGAUAAAGCGGGUGAAAAGCCCGCUCGCCGGAAGACCAAGGGUUCCUGUCCAACGUUAAUCGGGGCAGGGUGAGUCGACCCCUAAGGCGAGGCCGAAAGGCGUAGUCGAUGGGAAACAGGUUAAUAUUCCUGUACUUGGUGUUACUGCGAAGGGGGGACGGAGAAGGCUAUGUUGGCCGGGCGACGGUUGUCCCGGUUUAAGCGUGUAGGCUGGUUUUCCAGGCAAAUCCGGAAAAUCAAGGCUGAGGCGUGAUGACGAGGCACUACGGUGCUGAAGCAACAAAUGCCCUGCUUCCAGGAAAAGCCUCUAAGCAUCAGGUAACAUCAAAUCGUACCCCAAACCGACACAGGUGGUCAGGUAGAGAAUACCAAGGCGCUUGAGAGAACUCGGGUGAAGGAACUAGGCAAAAUGGUGCCGUAACUUCGGGAGAAGG
rnacentral:rRNA from 1 species